rnacentral:rRNA from 2 species
GGAUGUUAGCGGCGGACGGGUGAGUAACACGUGGGUAACCUGCCUGUAAGACUGGGAUAACUCCGGGAAACCGGAGCUAAUACCGGAUAGUUCCUUGAACCGCAUGGUUCAAGGAUGAAAGACGGUUUCGGCUGUCACUUACAGAUGGACCCGCGGCGCAUUAGCUAGUUGGUGGGGUAAUGGCUCACCAAGGCGACGAUGCGUAGCCGACCUGAGAGGGUGAUCGGCCACACUGGGACUGAGACACGGCCCAGACUCCUACGGGAGGCAGCAGUAGGGAAUCUUCCGCAAUGGACGAAAGUCUGACGGAGCAACGCCGCGUGAGUGAUGAAGGUUUUCGGAUCGUAAAGCUCUGUUGUUAGGGAAGAACAAGUGCGAGAGUAACUGCUCGCACCUUGACGGUACCUAACCAGAAAGCCACGGCUAACUACGUGCCAGCAGCCGCGGUAAUACGUAGGUGGCAAGCGUUGUCCGGAAUUAUUGGGCGUAAAGGGCUCGCAGGCGGUUUCUUAAGUCUGAUGUGAAAGCCCCCGGCUCAACCGGGGAGGGUCAUUGGAAACUGGGAAACUUGAGUGCAGAAGAGGAGAGUGGAAUUCCACGUGUAGCGGUGAAAUGCGUAGAGAUGUGGAGGAACACCAGUGGCGAAGGCGAC